rnacentral:rRNA from 1 species
GAUGAUCCGGUGCUUGCGCCGGGGAUUAGUGGCGAACGGGUGAGUAACACGUGAGUAACCUGCCCUUGACUCUGGGAUAAGCCUGGGAAACUGGGUCUAAUACCGGAUAUGACUCCUCAUCGCAUGGUGGGGGGUGGAAAGCUUUUGUGGUUUUGGAUGGACUCGCGGCCUAUCAGCUUGUUGGUGAGGUAAUGGCUCACCAAGGCGACGACGGGUAGCCGGCCUGAGAGGGUGACCGGCCACACUGGGACUGAGACACGGCCCAGACUCCUACGGGAGGCAGCAGUGGGGAAUAUUGCACAAUGGGCGCAAGCCUGAUGCAGCGACGCCGCGUGAGGGAUGACGGCCUUCGGGUUGUAAACCUCUUUCAGUAGGGAAGAAGCGAAAGUGACGGUACCUGCAGAAGAAGCGCCGGCUAACUACGUGCCAGCAGCCGCGGUAAUACGUAGGGCGCAAGCGUUAUCCGGAAUUAUUGGGCGUAAAGAGCUCGUAGGCGGUUUGUCGCGUCUGCCGUGAAAGUCCGGGGCUCAACUCCGGAUCUGCGGUGGGUACGGGCAGGCUAGAGUGAUGUAGGGGAGACUGGAAUUCCUGGUGUAGCGGUGAAAUGCGCAGAUAUCAGGAGGAACACCGAUGGCGAAGGCAGGUCUCUGGGCAUUAACUGACGCUGAGGAGCGAAAGCAUGGGGAGCGAACAGGAUUAGAUACCCUGGUAGUCCAUGCCGUAAACGUUGGGCACUA